CAGAGGGCCUCCGGCGCGGGUUUAGGCUACCCGUGCACCGCAAACAGUCUUCAUGGCGGGCCGUAGUCAAGGGGCGAUGCGUCUGCUGUAGGUUGGUCCAGGCUUCCGACUGAGAAGCCUCGUCUUGCGUGGCUGGCCAUACAGUGAACUCGACGAGGCGGGGAACCGAGCAGUCGUAAGCUGUCGUGGCUGGUGCUUGCAAACAAACGGGGUGGAGGAAGAGGUUCUGGGUUUACCAGUCUGCGGCUACGUCUCCACCUUUGGCGCGUCCUCUG
rnacentral:SRP_RNA from 1 species